rnacentral:rRNA from 1 species
CAUCACUACGCUAGAUGCAUAUCAAUAAGCGGAGGAAAAGAAACUAACAAGGAUUCCCCUAGUAACGGCGAGUGAAGCGGGAAGAGCUCAAAUUUGAAAUCUUCAAGGGUUUGACCUUUACGAAUUGUAGUUUAAAGAAGUGUUUUCUGUUAGAGGAGUUAGGUAAAAGUUCUUUGGAAUAGGACAUCAUAGAGGGUGAGAAUCCCGUAUUUGACCAUGUUACUUUCAGCUGUGUGAUACACUUUCAAAGAGUCGGAUUGUUUGGGAAUGCAGUCCAAAAUGGGUGGUAGAUUUCAUCUAAAGCUAAAUAUUGGCGAGAGACCGAUAGCGAACAAGUACCGUGAGGGAAAGAUGAAAAGAACUUUGAAAAGAGAGUUAAACAGUACGUGAAAUUGUCAAAAGGGAAGCGUUUGACACCAGUGUUGUUUUUCCGAAAAUCAAUUACGAAUGUUUUGUUUUUAAGGAGUUAUGACUUCAUCGGCUUGCUUCUUUCUUUAUGAAACUUUCUUAAUACACUUUUCGGUUAACAAGUCAACAUCAAUUUCUUUUGUUGUAAAAGGGUAUGAGGAAGGUGGCUUUCUUUUCGGAGAAAGUGUUUACAGCCUUGUGCCUCUGCAAUCGGAGAGAUUGAGGUCUGCAGCGUAGAUCCUUCGGGGUUAGAUACGUUUGUGCUAAGUUAUAGCUUUUCAUAGACAACUUGUUGACUAUGUUUAGUCUUGUAGCUUACUCGCUGACGCUAUUUUACCUACGCUUAGGAUGUUGACGAGACUGUCGAUCU